rnacentral:rRNA from 1 species
AUACGUAGGGGGCGAGCGUUGUCCGGAAUGAUUGGGCGUAAAGGGCGCGUAGGCGGCGCGGUAAGUCUGGAGUGAAAGUCCUGCUUUCAAGGUGGGAAUUGCUUUGGAUACUGCCGCGCUUGAGUGCAGGAGAGGUUAUCGGAAUUCCCGGCGUAGCGGUGAAAUGCGUAGAGAUCGGGAGGAACACCAGUGGCGAAGGCGGGUAACUGGACUGCAACUGACGCUGAGGCGCGAAAGUGUGGGGAGCAAACAGGAUUAGAUACCCUGGUAGUCCACACUGUAAACGAUGAAUGCUAGGUGUAAGAGGUAUCGACCCCUUUUGUGCCGGAGUUAACACAAUAAGCAUUCCGCCUGGGGAGUACGGCCGCAAGGUUGAAACUCAAAUGAAUUGGCGGGG